rnacentral:lncRNA from 1 species
AAUAACUUCUUUUACCCUUGAAAUAUUGAAAUCACUCUUUUCUCUUCUAUGAAAAAAAAAAUUCGUAAAUGGACACAAUCCUCAUAAACCCAAAAUUACUCUGGAUGCAUAACUACAAUUGAAAUUCCAUGACUAAAAAAAAUUAAUUAUUCAAUUUAUUCUCUUAAAUGCUCUAUUAAAGACAAAUAAUUUUCUCUUGCAAACAGUUAAAUUUCAAAAAUAAAAAAUACUCAUUGCAUCUUUCAAGCAGGACUAGGUCCAUAAAUAUUCUCUCUAGAUUUUCUCAGCAAACAAACAAAAAAAAGAAAUAAUACAGAACAAAAAUAAAAAGAAAUAAUAUAGAACAAAAAUGAAAAAAGAGAAAUGAACAUCAAUGGACGAAGAAUUAUCGAACUGAAUGUGAUCCCAAAGCUUCACAAAGAUCUCGUGAUUUCUAUACAGUGAACCGGGAAGGGGAGUAUGGCCCACAAAACCAGGAUUUGCAGGGUCGGCCCAGGGUUUCGGUGCGUUGAUUGAAGGUCGUGAGGGCUUAAAGUUUCCUUGUGCUGAGUGAGGUGAAAUGAAGAAAUAGAGAGACCUACGAGAAAGAAUUUCAAUUGAAAAUUUCUUUAUCUCCAAGCCGGGACGAGGGACAACACUGAAAAAAUCGAAAAUUAAAACUUUAUCUAGGACUAAAUAAUAAUGAAUUUAAAAAAAAAUUGAGACAAUUAUAUGAAGAGAGAGAGAGUCACCUCUAGCGAAAGAGCUUCGAGCUUAGAUAUUCUGUUUCUUAUCUUCAAUAUUGUUAGGGUUUAUCAGGGUUUCUUGUCUUCAAUCUUCCAUCUUUGUUAGGAUUUCUUCGAACUAUUCUUGUUUGGUUUAAAGUGUAUUUGUUUCGUCUACUUGGUUUGAUUUGGGAAGAUUUCCGAAUGAUUUAGGAAGAGAGGCAAUACGAAGAGAGAGAGAGAGGGAAGACGAAAAGAUUUCAAAAUUUUC